UGUUUUGUUUUCCCUCCGCAAU
rnacentral:miRNA from 1 species